GAAUAAUAUGCCUUCAAGCAAACCACCAAAUUUAAGACAUCAAAUUGAGGAAAGAAUUUUACGUAUGUAUAUAUAAUAAAUUUUUUAAGAAAAAGGAAUUUUAAUCUUUGCAGUGAAUACUAAUAAUUAUUUAGAUGAUAUAAUCCACAUAUUUUGCAGGUAUUGUUUCGCAUAUGCUCACGCUACUAAUUUAUGAAUCAAUGGGAGAUAGCGGGAAAUAUGAAGUGCGAAUUAGUUUAAAAAAAGAGAAGAUUUAAUUCAGUGUUCAAGGCGUUGAUGAAUGCAACAAACCAGUAUAAUUUCCUAAAAUCAGUAGCAAUAUCGGACGUAUCAGAGAUAGACCAUGUGAAUUUGAGGCGACAAACCACCCGUUUAAUUUCAACGUAAAAAUCCCUAUAACUUCAAACAUCGUUUGCAAUGUUCUGUUUAAUCAUUGUAAACUUUACUGUGGAUUACUUUAUCAAGUGACAUUGACAUUGUAAUCUCGCAUAAAUUUUUUAACAUUUACCUAGCCGACGAAUUUAAGGAACAUGUCCUUUUCCAUAAAAAAAGUUUAAAAGAACCCGAAAUAGGAAUAUUUUGAUUCAGCAUCAACGGUUUUUACUCAGGGAAGUUCAAUAUUUAGGAUUCCCUUAUUAUACUUACUUUACUUGAGGGAUUCGUUGUCAAAUAAUAAUUCUUUCUCGACCGUUUCUAUUUGGGAAAUAUUAACAAAAGCACUAACACAUUUCAAACAUAUAGCUCUCGAUUUAAAAAAAAAACUACUUCAAUUAAUUUAUAUUUAUAUUCAUCCAGUAAAAAACUUGAUACUUGGUACAAUGCUGAAAUGAUUCCAUUACAACUAAACUGGAUGAAUCCCUUUUAGAUUGAGAACGGAGAGACCUGUCUGUAUAUUCCAGCGUCCUUUAAUUAAGUAGAUAAUUAAGUGCAAGCAAUUUUUUCAAUCUGCUGUAAAGCACUAUUUACAUUAAUUUUAAAAAUUGACAAAUGGAA